rnacentral:rRNA from 1 species
ACUCAAAUGAAUAGACGGGGGUCCGCACAAGCGGCGGAGCAUGUGGAUUAAUUCGAUGCAACGCGAAGAACCUUACCUGGGUUUGACAUACACCGGUAACCCGCGGAGACGUGGGCCCCCUUGUGGUCGGUGUACAGGUGGUGCAUGGCUGUCGUCAGCUCGUGUCGUGAGAUGUUGGGUUAAGUCCCGCAACGAGCGCAACCCUUGUCCUGUGUUGCCAGCGCGUGAUGGCGGGGACUCGCAGGAGACUGCCGGGGUCAACUCGGAGGAAGGUGGGGAUGACGUCAAGUCAUCAUGCCCCUUAUGUCCAGGGCUUCACACAUGCUACAAUGGCCGGUACAGAGGGCUGCGAUGCCGUGAGGCGGAGCGAAUCCCUUAAAGCCGGUCUCAGUUCGGAUCGGGGUCUGCAACUCGACCCCGUGAAGUCGGAGUCGCUAGUAAUCGCAGAUCAGCAACGCUGCGGUGAAUACGUUCCCGGGCCUUGUACACACCGCCCGU